rnacentral:lncRNA from 1 species
GCGAUCGAUGAUUUUAUUUUCUAAAUAUUACAACAACAUAUAUUCAAGUAUGAUUUGAUUCAUAAAAAAAAGUAAUUUUUUUAACUGAUAUAAAUGACUUUCAAAAGAUGUAAAUUGUUAAAUUGGCAUCCUAUAAAGGUAUGCAACCGCUAAUUUGUCUUGGUGAGGACAUGUGUUUGUAUCUCACUAGAGACAAGUUUCGGGGGUCUUAGAUCUUAAGCUACUAGUACAAAUGUAUACUAUUGUAAAUUAUAUGCUUGUACUGUUGGUUUCGAAUCGUUUCAAAUUUUGAUUUUUCUACGCUAUGUACCACUUUGCACCAUAAUAUCAUUAAUAUUGAUACAAAAAUCACAUUCUGUAGUAACAACAAACAAACAAAGUGUGUCAAGCAGACCUUCUAUGGGUCCUCAACGCUUUUCAACUAUGUACUUGUUUGGCUUGAUAAAUAUUUUGAUAUGAGCGUCACUGGUGAGUCUUAUUUAGACGAAACGUGCGUCUGGCGUACUAAAUUAUAAUCCUGGUACCUUUGAUAACUAUUUACGAUAACUGCUCUGGAAUUUUUACUUGAUAACAUGUCUGUUUGCCGUAGAGAUUCCGGGAAAACGUCUUGCACCAGAAAACCAAUGAAGUAACAUUUUAUAAAUCAGCUGAAAUGGUUUUUGAUGAAAUAACGAGUAACAACCUCGACAACGUGUAGAUUUUAGAUGUAGAUCUAUGUUCACCUUUUCAAAAAUAAGGUAUAUCAUUGAUCAACUCCGCAAU